rfam:Ipomoea nil DNA, scaffold: scaffold0418, cultivar: Tokyo-kokei standard.
CUGCUAUGAUGAAGUUAAGAACUUAUUGAAAGCUAUUGAUGCUUGGUGAAACAUCGACAGUACUGUUGAUCCUGAGCGGUUAACUGAGCAG